rnacentral:rRNA from 1 species
AGAGCGAACGCUGGCGGCAGGCUUAACACAUGCAAGUCGAGCGGGCGUAGCAAUACGUCAGCGGCAGACGGGUGAGUAACGCGUGGGAACAUACCUUUUGGUUCGGAACAACCCAGGGAAACUUGGGCUAAUACCGGAUAAGCCCUUACGGGGAAAGAUUUAUCGCCGAAAGAUUGGCCCGCGUCUGAUUAGCUAGUUGGUGAGGUAACGGCUCACCAAGGCGACGAUCAGUAGCUGGUCUGAGAGGAUGAUCAGCCACAUUGGGACUGAGACACGGCCCAAACUCCUACGGGAGGCAGCAGUGGGGAAUAUUGGACAAUGGGCGCAAGCCUGAUCCAGCCAUGCCGCGUGAGUGAUGAAGGCCCUAGGGUUGUAAAGCUCUUUUGUGCGGAAGAUAAUGACGGUACCGCAAGAAUAAGCCCCGGACUAACUUCGCGCCAGCAGCCGC